rnacentral:tRNA from 2 species
GCCGCCGUAGACCAACGGCAGAGUCAACGAGCUCAAACCUCGUCGAGUGAGCGUUCGAAUCGCUCCGGCGGCA